rnacentral:rRNA from 1 species
CAGCAGCCACGGGAAAACGGAGGGAGCUAGCGUUGUUCGGAAUUACUGGGCGUAAAGCGCACGUAGGCGGCUUUGUAAGUUAGAGGUGAAAGCCUGGAGCUCAACUCCAGAACUGCCUUUAAGACUGCAUCGCUUGAAUCCAGGAGAGGUGAGUGGAAUUCCGAGUGUAGAGGUGAAAUUCGUAGAUAUUCGGAAGAACACCAGUGGCGAAGGCGGCUCACUGGACUGGUAUUGACGCUGAGGUGCGAAAGCGUGGGGAGCAAACAGGAUUAGAUACCCCUGUAGUCCCUGUCUCUUAUAC